CCAGCCCGAGAGACAGCGGAGAUUCAUUACCCGCCGACACAAUGACCAUUGAUGGCCCCGUGGCGUUAUUCAAAUCCAGUACCAAUUGCAGCCGAGCCCCUUUCUCCGCGCCAGGCCCGUAUUGUUGGAGCGGCCCACUAAAAGCCCGCCCCGGCCCUGAGCCACCAGAGGCACCCGCUCGGGUUCAGCCCUGCGCCUCGCAACCCGCCCGGCUCCCAACCCGGCUCCCCGGGCGCUGCAGGUGACCCAGCGGCGCAUUCCAGCGCUCCCCGCCGCCCGGGCCACCGCCGUCACCGCUACCGCCGGCGCCCCAGCCGCGACUCAGCCACGGGGAAGCGGAGAGCGCCCGAGCCGGGUGAUCGUCCCGGCGGCCAGCGGGGUUCUCCAGUCGAUUCCAGUCGAUCUGGCGGGGUUCCUCCUUUCCAAUUUCGGCUGGGAACGAAGCUGGCACACAGCGGCAAGGUCCGAAAGUGGUCGGGGGAGUCCGCCCUCGCCCCCAGCCGCAGGAAGUCGGGAGCGAAAGGAGAUGUCGGUGGACUGAGCCCACUAACUCGUUUCGAUUUGGUUAUAACCUAUUCCCCCAAUACUCCCAAAACAAAACAAAAAAUUUCUAAACCAACCCCCGAAUCCCAAACAAACCGACCCCUCGCGCCAGUCCCUCCCGACGGACUGAUGGGCUGUGCCUCAAGCCGCAGACCGUGACUGAGAAGCGCUGGGAAUGAUGCGCUCCAGCCAGGCAAUCACCUCGGCUUUGGAAAUAGAAAUUGGACAAACGAAUCCUUUUCAUUAAAGAAAAAUCUUCGGACAUA